AUGCAAACAUGCUAUUUAAUUAAAAAUAUUAAUUUGACUUUAAUCAGUUUUUAUCAACCUGCUAUUUACACUUGCUUUUAGUAAGUUACUUGUACUUUGAGGUUGAAAAAUCUUACCAGCUCAGUUUACUUGAGUUAGAUUAAUUUAGAAAAAGUAAGUUUAUGAUCUGUGGGCAUGCGCAGAUCAGUCCUCUCUACGCUAGACGGCGAUAUUUGUUCACCACUAUGGCCCCGCCCUUCAAUAGCUACUAUUGGCCAGGCGCUUACGUACCUGAUUUGUACAGGUCAUAUCCCCUGACCAACCUUAACCAAUCCAGGUGAAUUGCCUAACCCCAACCAAUCAAGCUGCUUCGUAGGGCGGGUCUUGGCGUGGCGGGAUUCGUAAUUUUGCAGACAUGUCACAUCGUGCCUGCAACUGACCAAGUGGAGCUGGACCUAAACAUCGCUUCAACGGCGCUUUUGUUUAUCUUCAUCAUAACAGCGAUUCUUGUGCUUGGCACACUCAUUUGGCUCAAGCAGAUGGUGAUCAAUCCACACAUAGGUAGUCCCAGCAGUAAAAGAUACUGUGGGUUCGACUUAUAGCCCAUUAAGAUGAUGACUUCAGCAGUGUUGCACAAGCACUGAUCAGAAAAUA